rnacentral:rRNA from 1 species
AUUGAACGCUGGCGGCAGGCCUAACACAUGCAAGUCGAACGAGUGGCGGACGGGUGAGUAAUGUCUGGGAAACUGCCCGACGGAGGGGGCUAACUACUGGAAACGGUAGCUACUACCGCAUACCAUCGGAUGUGCCCUGAUUGGAUUAGCUAGGAGGUGGGGUAAUGGCUCACCUAGGCGACGAUCCCUAGCUGGUCUGAGAGGAUGACCGGCCACACUGGAACUGAGACACGGUCCAGACUCCUACGGGAGGCAGCAGUGGGGAAUAUUGCACAAUGGGCGCAAGCCUGAUGCAGCCAUGCCGCGUGUAUGAAGAAGGCCUUCGGGUUGUAAAGUACGUUCAGCGGGGAGGCGGUACUCGCAGAAGAAGCACCGGCUAACUCCGUGCCAGCAGCCGCGGUAAUAC